rnacentral:rRNA from 1 species
ACUCCUACGGGAGGCAGCAGUGGGAAUAUUGCACAAUGGGAAGGCCAUCGAUGCAGCCAUGCCGCGCUGUGUGAAGUAAGGCCAAUUCGGGCUUGUUAAGACACUUUCAGUAGGGAGGAAGGUAGUGUAGUUAACACCUGCACUAUUUGACGUUACCUACAGAAGAAGCACCGGCUAACUCCGUGCCAGCAGCCGCGGUAAUACGGAGGGUGCGAGCGUUAAUCGGAAUUACUGGGCGUAAAGCGCAUGCAGGCGGCCUGUUAAGUCAGAUGUGAAAG